rnacentral:rRNA from 1 species
AUUUAUCACUUGAAGAUGGCUGUGCGGCUGAUUAGGUAGUUGGCGGGGUAACGGCCCACCAAGCCUGCGAUCAGUAACUGGUGUGAGAGCACGACCAGUCACACGGGCACUGAGACACGGGCCCGACUCCUACGGGAGGCAGCAGUAAGGAAUAUUGGUCAAUGGACGAAAGUCUGAACCAGCCAUGCCGCGUGGAGGAUGAAGGUCCUCUGGAUUGUAAACUUCUUUUAUAUGGGACGAAAAAAGGGUUUUCUAACUCGUCUGACGGUACCAUAUGAAUAAGCACCGGCUAACUCCGUGCCAGCAGCCGCGGUAAUACGGAGGGUGCAAGCGUUAUCCGGAUUCACUGGGUUUAAAGGGAGCGUAGGUGGGUUGGUAAGUCAGUGGUGAAAUCCCCGAGCUUAACUUGGGAACUGCCAUUGAUACUAUCAGUCUUGAAUACCGUGGAGGUCAGC